GCGGCCGUGGUGUAGCAGUUAGCACCGAGGUCUGUGGAACCUUGAGCACGGGUGCAAAUCCCGUCGGUCGCC
rnacentral:tRNA from 1 species